GGACUCCAGCUAGGGCUUAAUAGGUUAUAUAAUGGUAUAGAUGGUAAAAUCUCUUCCAGCCAUUUCUUGCCGCCUUUACAUAUCAAGUUAGGGUUCAACGAGUAACCCAGGAAAAGGAGGCAGCAAGUUUUCUUUCAUCUCACCGCCAUGAGAGCCAAGUGGAAGAAGAAGCGCAUGAGAAGGCUGAAGAGGAAGCGCCGAAAGAUGAGACAGAGAUCCAAGUAGGCGGAACGAUCGGCCUUGUUCUACGAGGUUCCUCAACUUCUUAGCUUAUUUUGGCGUGCUUUUAGGGUUAUGUUAUCUGCCAUUUUUAUUUUUAGAUUCAAGCUCAGUUUUUGUUUCUAUCGUCUUUCAAUUCGGUAUUAAUCAUGCCGUGGUUGUUUCAUUGUCGAGAACAGUGAAUAGGUUUUUAUCAAAUUAUUACUAUUUACU